AUAUAUAUAUAUAUAUAUAUAAUGCUUAUCGAAGAGUUUUGGUAAUUUUACACCCCCCUUUGCAAGUUCUUCGUGUUACAAAUCCUUCAAGACAAAAACGUCAAGAAGAUGACUGUCACCAACAUUCACCUCCCCGACUUUGAGACAGGAAGUUGUAAAGAGACAGUGGGUACACGACUUCUGUGUUUUUCAGAGGCUAGAAAUGUGAAGAAAGGAGGAGAGCUGAUGGGUGUUGAAGUGGUUUCCGUUGAUGUGAAGUGAUUACACUUAAAGGACUUAAACAAGCCACCGGUUAUUGCUAACAAGGAGUUAGAGGCAGGGGAGGAAGACUAGGAAGUGAUGCAGCCCCUUAUGUGAGACGCCUACCAAUCCCAAACCAACAUGGAGGUUUUGUAAGAGGUGGUUAAGACAAAGGCCAAGCUGGUGGUGGCAAAGGGAAUAAAGGUGGCCCAGCUAAAGAUGCCUAAAUGUAGGAUUGAAAAAAUGGAAAAAGCUCUAACAUGGUAUUAGGAAGAACAUGAAGACAACACUAGCUGAAGGCUUUCUACAGUUGUUGACUAUCAAGUGAACACCCUCCUAUGUUUCUAGGAGAAGCCAGAGCUAAAGCCUUUGUUGCUCAAACUUGCGCAGUGCUCUUUUUCAUGAUUCAGUGGCUACAUGAGAGUUGUUUCUGCACGAGUCAGAGUUUAGAGUCAGUAACUUAACUUGCUUCACAUUUAAGAUAUUGUGGUUACAUUUGUUUAUCUAAUGAAUAAGCAAACCAGACUCUAAAUAGCUUAACUUGCUUCACAUUUAAGAUAUUGAGGUUACAGUUGUUUAUCUAAUGGAUAAGCAAACUAGAACCAAGUAAAAUACACGUUCCAAAAACGAUUUACAAACAAUGUUCUUUCUAUUAUAUACUAAUACAUGAAUAUGUUUUUAACGAUUUAAGAUAUUUAUCAUUAUGUGUGUAGAAAAUAUGUUUUAUAAGGUUUAAAAUUAUUUUUCUAAAAUUUAAUCAGUAUUGUUUUAGAAAAUUUAAUUAAUAACAUAUAUAACUUACAAGAAAAAAGUAGUGAAUGUUGUUAUAAAAAUAAUUAAAUUAUUGUUACAUAUAAUUGAAAAUAAAUUAAGCAUUAUAGAAAAUUAUAUUAAAAAAUUUUAAUGGUAAAAUUAGUAUAUAUUUUCUAAGUAUUGUACAGAAAAUAUAAGCUUAUUGCAUUUAACUUAAUGUACAUUUAAAAAAAAACUAAAAUAAACAGCUCAAUCAUGAUUUUAAUACUAAAAUGAAAAAAAAUUAUAUACUUGCAUAGUCCAACAAAAAAAAAAAAGUUAACCAUCCCGAUAAAAAAACAAAUAA